GAGGUCUCAAGCGUUGUUCGGAUUCAUUGGGCGUAAAGGGUGCGUAGGUGGCGCCGUAAGUCAGGUGUGAAAUUUCGGAGCUUAACUCCGAAACUGCAUUUGAUACUGCGGUGCUUGAGGACUGGAGAGGAGACUGGAAUUUACGGUGUAGCAGUGAAAUGCGUAGAGAUCGUAAGGAAGACCAGUGGCGAAGGCGGGUCUCUGGACAGUUCCUGACACUGAGGCACGAAGGCCAGGGGAGCAAACGGG
rnacentral:rRNA from 1 species